rnacentral:SRP_RNA from 1 species
GCGCGCUAGACGGGGAAUUAGCGGUGCCCUGUGACCCGCAAUCCGCUACAGCGGGGUCGAACAUCUGAACGAGGCCCUCCAGUUCUCGUUCGCGACAGGAGUCAGGCGGUGUUGAGGGUCAGGUCCCGCGCAAUCGAGCCCGGUGAAUCCGGUCAGAGCCGGAAGGCAGCAGCCGUAAGCCGGUCACUCGAUGUGCCGCGGGGGCGCUUGGCCGGAGCCU